rnacentral:rRNA from 2 species
GGGUUGUGAGGUUAAGCGACUAAGCGUACACGGUGGAUGCCCUGGCAGUCAGAGGCGAUGAAGGACGUGCUAAUCUGCGAUAAGCGUCGGUAAGGUGAUAUGAACCGUUAUAACCGGCGAUUUCCGAAUGGGGAAACCCAGUGUGAUUCGUCACACUAUCAUUAACUGAAUCCAUAGGUUAAUGAGGCGAACCGGGGGAACUGAAACAUCUAAG